GUUUAGCCCAGUGGUUAGAGAGGCGGGCUCUAGACCGAGACGUCCCCGGUUCGAUUCCCGCCGU
rnacentral:tRNA from 1 species